CAGGCUGCUGGUAUGUUUCAGCAUUGACAGGAGCAAUUGCCUUUUUUUCAGGUUUCAUUUCAACCCCAUGUUUUGGGAACUGUUUGGACCAGACUAAUCAGCUCUAAAUUCUGGAAUCUUCCACCUUCUUUAUCUUCAAAGGGAUGGUUAUAUAUUCUGGCUAAGAUUGCGGAGCCGGAAGAGAAAGAGUCGUCAGGAACACGUUGGAACCAGAUUCAGGGCAUGAUAUGUACCCAGGGGGUCAUAAUGAAGCCUGGGCUGGAAAAAGAGUUUGAUAGUUCAACUUUCAUGAAAAAUGUGCAGUGGAAAGGAGUGAAAAAUCUGGUUUCCUUCUCCACUGUUUUCCAUUUCAGGAGGCCAUUACAUUAAUGCCUUCAGCUUUUUGCACAGCACAUAUUGCUUUGAUGGACGCUUUGAAAUAUCUGGUCGUUAUAACUCAGUCACUCAAGACACCUCACUUAAAAAUUCUAGUUAUGGAAUAAUUGUGAUGCCAUAGGAAGAAAAUUAAGCACGCUGUCUACUCUUGGGAAAUGUUAACAAAUGCCUGUGCAUACUGUGAAGAGUCCACGGGGAAGAAAAUGAGCCACACAAGGUCAGAAUAACUUACUAUGCUGUUAAUAAUAUCUUCCUGGUUAUUGAGGGGCUAUUCAUUUUUAUUAAAUAACAAAACACUGAGGCAUU
rnacentral:lncRNA from 1 species